GGGGAUGCAAUGGUUUCGACGGGGGGAGAGGGGCGUGAGCAGCGGGCCGUGGCGGUGCACCACGAUAAAAGCGCCAAAACAAAUUAACUGACAACAAUAACACUGUUGCCGUCGCGGCCUGAUUAGGCCCGACCGUCCCGCCCGUCUUAGCACCGAACGGGGCCGGGGCGUCGAUCAGGUGCUGAACAUGUACGGACCUAAGCUUUGCCGUCCGUCAGGUACUCAUGAAGCUACCAAGGCGUAACGCGCGUGUGUUCGCUCACGCCAAGGGAAAUUCAAUAAGCACACUGCGCCCGGAGAUACUCUAACCGCUUUCUUUUCGGACAGGGGUUCGAUUCCCCUCAUCUCCACCA
rnacentral:tmRNA from 2 species